rnacentral:rRNA from 1 species
UAGGGAAUCUUCCGCAAUGGACGCAAGUCUGACGGAGCAACGCCGCGUGAGUGAAGAAGGAUUUCGGUUCGUAAAACUCUGUUGUUAGAGAAGAACAGCGCAUAGAGUAACUGUUAUGCGUGUGACGGUAUCUAACCAGAAAGCCACGGCUAACUACGUGCCAGCAGCCGCGGUAAUACGUAGGUGGCAAGCGUUGUCCGGAUUUAUUGGGCGUAAAGCGAGCGCAGGCGGUCAAUUAAGUCUGAUGUGAAAGCCCCCGGCUCAACCGGGGAGGGUCAUUGGAAACUGGUUGACUUGAGUGCAGAAGAGGAGGGUGGAAUUCCAUGUGUAGCGGUGAAGUGCGUAGAUAUAUGGAGGAACACCAGUGGCGAAGGCGACUCUCUGGUCUGUAACUGACGCGGAGGCUCGAAAGCGUGGGUAGCAAACAGG